rnacentral:lncRNA from 1 species
UUCAUCUGACACAUAUCGAUAGCUACCCGCGCCUGUUGCACGCCCUGUUUGAGUGAAUAUAGACAACGAAUCAGCCAAGCCUACAUCACCACCAUCAAAGUUUCUUGACUUCUUCGUAAAUUUUGUUUCAAAAUCUUUGUCGGGUAUAAAGAGCAAAAUGUCACCAUCUCUUCUUUCAAAUAAGCUUCAGAAAUAGAACCUUCAACACAAGCUUUAUUUCGAACUUUCUUUUUCAAAGAAUGCAUAAAUCUUUCGUAUGGAUACAUCCAUCUAUAUUGCACAGGUCCACCUACUUGUGCCUCGUAUGGAAGAUGAAUCAACAUAUGUUCCAUCGAAUCGAAGAAAGAUGGAGGAAAU